rnacentral:lncRNA from 1 species
CAUCAACCACCUUAAAUAAGUGGGAGUAGGUUCCAUGUUAAUGAUGCCAAUAAUUGAGUAUUCUUUUAUCAGUUUUGCCUAGUCAAUUUUCUUUGCUCACUUCACUCGCUCCUCCAUAAACAAAAAACGGCACCUCUUAAAUCUGAACUAGUACAGGAUCUGUCCGGCCCCAGGCUUUGUUUAUACAGACGAACGAAAGAAACAUUUGAUUACCAGCCGGUGGUUUCAUCGAACGGGCCUGAUGGAUACGUGUUUUGUUCCGGCCCGGGCGCGUCGC